GAAUAUGAUAACCUUGAGGAGGCACCUCGAAAAUCCGCAGGAGGCGGGCCCACUCGGCGCCAGGGAGCAAAGGAGAAAUUCGAAGAGGAAGCAACGAAGAACAAAGCCAGAGAAAGAAAGUGGGUAGAAGAGCACGGCUUCGAUCGCCCACGGAGAACCCAAUCGCAGAAAUUGGCGGAACAAAAUCGAAACCGAUAUGCGAGAAAAAAAGCAGCUCUGGAGCAAUCAGAUAAGGUCGAAUCGGAUGAGGAGGAGAAGUUGAGCGAAUCAGAUGAGGAUGAGGAAGGAAGAGGAGCAGUUGAUGAAUUUGAAUUCGAAUCAAACGAUGUUCCGUCUCCCCAGGCUCCACCGACACCGUCAAUUGCUGAUCCGGGCCCCACAGCCUCUUCAUCGCCACUCACUCAAGACCCCGCCUCAAACGCCACUGGAUUCUCUGUCACACCAAACCUCGUCGUCGCAAGCGGAUUUAUUGGUUUCUUUCUCAACGUCCCCUGGCUUUCUAUCAUUCAAAGAUGAAACCAAAGACACAUGGUAUAUUCAGGAGCUUUAUCGAGUGAUUAUUGAGAACGCGAAAGAUACUCAUUUGGCGGAUCUUCUGACGGAGACCAACAGACGAGUCGUGGAGAAAUAUGAGGCAGAUAAAGUAGUGUUCGUGUGUAAGCAAGCACCUGAGUUCUGGUCGAGGUUCACAAAACAGCUAUUCUUCAUGUCUAGAAAUGACGUGUUUUGAUGUCAAUGGCCUCGGUGAUCAGUAUGCUCUCAGUACAUGUUUCAACAGUUCUUUCAAUUGUCACACAUUUUUCCCGCUGCUACGAUGAAUUACAAUACCUAUUCAAUUUCCAAUAUCGGAUUUUCUAUCAAUUGUGACGAUGUCAUGCUAGCCUUAUUCAUAUUUAAAAUGCCCGUUUGUCAACUCUUCUGGAUAUUUUAACUGGUCAAUAAAGUGUUUUAUUUGAAGUUCUAU